ensembl:lncRNA
GUGAAUGGCCACAUGUCUAGUAUCCUCACUUCAAACACAGGGUCUCCGCAGGGCUGCGUCCUUUCUCCCUUGCUUUUUAUUAUGUACACUGAUAGCUGCAGGACUUCCCAACUGGGUAGCUACCUUGUGAAAUUUUCUGAUGACACUGCCCUACUGUCACUUCUUCUGGGGGACCAAUCGGGCCAUGGAAGUGCCUUACCACAAUUGGUGAAUUGGUGUGAUGAUAACUUCCUGGACCUUAAUGCGACAAAAACUAAGGAGUUAAUCAUUGAUUUUAGAAAGAACCGUUUUAACCCAGAAGCCAGCAUUAUUCAUUGCAAAAAUGUUGAAAUUGUAGAGACGUAUAAGUACUUAGGAACCAUGUUUGACUCAAACCUCAAGUUUGAUAAAAACACAGAGUCUAUCAUUAAGCGGGGACAACAAAGAAUUCACUUGAUGCGGAAGCUAAAUUCUUUCAAUGUUUCUCAAAGGAUCUUAUGCAACUUUUAUUAUUCAUUUAUUGAAAGCCUUUUAACAUUUUCUUUCAUCUGCUGGUUUAAUGGAUUGUCUGUGAGGGACAAGAAUAGCCUCAGCAGUAUUGUUAAAAUCUGCUCCAAGAUCAUUGGAGUUCAGCUGACAGACCUGAGCUCCCACUGGAAAAAACGGGUGCUCCAGAAGGCUAGACAGGUCAUGAGUUAUCCUGACCAUGUUCUUAGUCAGGAAUUCUGUCUAAUGCCCUCAGGACAAUGCUACCUUGCCCCCCCCAAGGAAAACUAACAGAUAUGCAAAUUAUUUUAUUCCCUCUGCCAUCAGGUUUUUAAAUACUGUUGAUAGCAGCAACUAGAUAGGUGCCAGGCAUCACAAAUCUCUGUAUUAUUAUUUAUUAUUAUUUACUUAGUAUUAUUAUUUAUUUAUUUAUUUACUUGAACGUUGGUUGCUGCUCAGACUAUGUAUUGUGGCCUGUGUAUUUGUUGCUUUGUUUUGGUGCCCAAAUGCAAUAUGAUGUCAUUGACAGUGUUUCUGAAUGCUUGAUUAAGUGUUGUCUUUUGUCUUGUUGAUACGACUGGUAGGCUAAAACUGAAUUGCCUUACGGGGAUAAAUAAAGUAGUUUGAAUC